rfam:Rhizobium sp. Root149 contig_5, whole genome shotgun sequence.
CAUGCUUGCUGAGCUCCGCAGCGGCGACCGGGAUGUUCCCGACACCGUAGCAACACCGGAGCUUGA